AUAUCAGAAAUUGAGGCAAGAAUAUCAGCCCUCAAAACAGCAGGUCUAAAUGUAUCUGCGUGCACAAGGUUUUCCAAGUACAAAUCUAAACCUAUGAGAAAAAGGAAGUCAAAUCCAAGCCACAGAUGGGAUCUAUGAGGCUGUGACAAGAGGCCAUGUAACCUCAGUGAUUCUUAGAUAAGCUGGAUGGCUCAAUAUCACUCCGCAGUGAAUACUAGGACCAUCAGGCUGUUCCACACCACUGCCUUGAUCUAACUUCCUGUCCUCCAGUUUGAUCAGCACUAAUGCUACUUGUUGACCCUAAACCUGAUCACAACCCAUGUAGGGUUAAUAUUACUUCUGACCCCUAGAACUCUACCAAACCCUGGAGCUCAUUAUCUCCAGAAGGGGACCCGAUUCCAGCAAGGGUUCAGAUAAAAAAAUCGGCAGCUGGCAGCAGGAAGUGGCAGCCAUUGACAGCCGGAAGGCAAUUACUGGCAGCCGGAAGGUAGGCGGGACCUGCCACUCGGUGGCAGCCAAUCAGUAUCGACCAACGUGGACGCAACCAAUCACAUAUAACUACAACAGCAGCCAAAUGCUUCAGUAAUGGUGGCGAUUGAUCGAACAGUAAGUUCGGAAAUUGGUGAUCAGAGUAAUGAAUAUUUUUUGCAUUGUAAGUUUGAUUUUAAUUAUCUUAGUGAACGACAGUGUAACUUUGCCUACUUUAGUUUAAUUGUUCAAUGUAAUCUAAUUAGUGGCAGAAAUACGUAGUUUGUAUACAAUGUUACAUCAUGUAUAAUUGUUGCUGUUAGUAUGUUAGGGGGCUACCAUUAACUUCAUUUAUUACGUUUAACGUACCAUUAAAUAUUAACGUUUGUUAAUGUGUUAACAGAGUCUAUUGAAUAAUAAAAAACGAAUGUUGUUUGACUGGAAUUAUAGAAGAUACACAUGCAAAACUAACCAUAUAUUUUUGUGAGUUUAGUCUUUCAGGAGAUUGUCUGAUAUCCAUUAACUUAUUAAUUCUUCUUUUAAGAACUGUAUCUAUGUUCAGGUUUACAUACUGUAUAAUUCUGUUCCAUGGGGGGAAAAAACUGUUCUGUGUUCCAGUUGAAGUCCUAAGCAUGUGAAUGCAAAACACUUGGUAGUCUUUUUUAUUUUUUUAUUUUUUUAUUUUAAUCUAUACAAAAUAUAAUGGAACUGUUCAUCAUUCCUUAUAACUUUAAGGUCUGGUUUCACAGACAGGGCUUGGAUUAAGCCAGGAUUAGGCCGUAGUUAAAAUAGAACAUUGAAGUAGCUUUUAUAAGCAUGCCUUAGAAAAACAUUAUUGAUGUGCAUCUUGAGACAAAACCAUGACACUGACACAUUUUUUGUUUUGUUUAUGAUGCCCAAUAGUUGCCAGAUGCUGUCCUGUCGGAAAUUCUUCUUCACGUGGUUCUGGAGGAGGGUGAUGCUGCAUUAUUAAAUCUGUCUUUGGUUUGUUCCAAAUUCUGGUGUAUACAGACUCAUUUCGAAAGAGGGCACACUUCUGCUGGCUUGACAGUGUAACAAAAUGGAGAACAAAGUCUGAGCCAAGCCAGGAAUUCUUCAAAAUGUACACACUGCAGCCCUGCGAUGAGGUUUACAACAACUGCUUACCAGGUGUGCAAAUUAAGCAUGAAAAUGUGAUCACUGCUAGAUACAUGAUGACAAAAUGCAAUGGGAAUAAUCAUUAAUAUGGCUGUGCAUUCAUUUCUACUGUUAAUAAAACAAUUUAGGUAUUAAUGUCAC